rnacentral:rRNA from 1 species
AUGCUUUCUUUCUUACAACUCCCAAAAGGGGUCCUCCAAAGAUUGGACUAUUUUAGAUCCAGAUUUUUUUGGCAGGGAGAAGGUGAAAAGAAAAAAUAUAGGCUGGCAAAAUGGAGCGCGGUUUGUAGGCCGAAAGACCAAGGUGGCCUUGGAAUUCAUGACCUGCAGGUCAAGAAUGAGGCCCUACUUAGUAAAUGGUUGUUCAAACUUCUUACUGAGGAUGGUGUUUGGCAAACCAUAUUGCGCAACAAGUACCUAGGCCAAAAGGCGGUGUCUCAGGCUUAUUGGAAACCUGGUGACUCACACUUUUGGGCUGGCCUAAUGGUGGCAAAGAAAUAUCUUUUUCGCUUUGGGUCUUUCGCGAUAAAGGAUGGGUCAGAGGUUCGUUUCUGGGAAGACAUAUGGCUAGGCAAUGCCAGUCUCCGAGAGCAAUACCCAGCCUUAUACGCCAUUGCUCGCGAUAAGAGUAAUACUAUUGCGCAAGUGCUUAGUUCAUCCCUACCGAAUAUUUCGUUCAGGCGCGAUUUGAUUGGCCCCCGACUUUUGUCAUGUCAUAAUCUUUUAUCCCGUCUGGAUUCGAUUAAUCUGACACAAGGUCGGGAUGUGUUUCACUGGAAACUCACAACAUCAGGGUCUUACACAGUAGACUCGAUGUACCAUGCGCUUAUGCAUUCCGAGGUGCCAGUGAAUAAUAACAAGAAAGUCUAG